rnacentral:rRNA from 1 species
ACACGCUGGCGGCGUGCUUUACACAUGCAAGUUGAACGAUCCGCCUGGAUACAGCCUUGUGCUGUAUCCGGAUUACGGAUAGUAGCGGACGGGUGAGUAACGCGUAAAGAAUCUGUCCUCGAGUUUGAGACAACCUGACGAAAGUGGGGCUAAUCUCAGAUAAGCUAACAGGUAGGCAUCUACCAGUUAGAAAAGGUGGUGUAAGCCAUUGCUUGAGGAGGUCUUUGCGUCGGAUUAGCUUGCUGGUGAGAUAACAGCUCACCAGGGCGACGAUCCGUAGCUGGUCUGAGAGGACGAUCAGUCACACUGGAACUGAGACACGGUCCAGACUCCUACGGGAGGCAGCAGUGGGGAAUCUUCCGCAAUGGGUGAGAGCCUGACGGAGCAACGCCGCGUGAAUGAAGAAGGCCUUCGGGUUGUAAAGUUCUGUCCUUGGGGAAGAGCGGUAGAUACAGGCAAUGGUAUUUACGUGACGGUACCUGAGGAGGAAGCCCUGGCUAACUACGUGCCAGCAGCCGCGGUAAUACGUAGAGGGCAAGCGUUGUCCGGAAUCAUUGGGCGUAAAGGGUACGCAGGCGGAUAUGCAAGUCAAAUGUGAAAGGUACCGGCCCAACCGGUAGAGUGCAUUUGAAACUGUAUAUCUUGAGUACAGCAGAGGAGAACGGAAUUCCUGGAGUAGCGGUGGAAUGCGUAAAUAUCAGGAAGAACACCAGUGGCGUAGCGGUUCUCUGGGCUGUACUGACGCUGAGGUACGAAAGCUGGGGUACGAACGGGAUUAAAUACCCGGUA